AACGUAGGAGACAAACGUUAUCCGGAGUUACUGGGCGUAAAGGGCGUGUAGGUGGUGCUGUAAGUCUGGCGUGAAAUUUCUCGGCUUAACCGAGGCAGGUCGUCGGAUACUAUAAGACUAGAGGACGGUAGAGGCGUAUGGAAUUCCGGGUGUAGUGGUGAAAUGCGUAGAGAUCCGGAGGAACACCAGUGGCGAAGGCGACACGCUGGGCCGUACCUGACACUGAUGCGCGACAGCGUGGGGAGCAAACAGG
rnacentral:rRNA from 1 species